rnacentral:rRNA from 1 species
UGGUGGAUGGCUCGGCUCAGGCGGCGACGAAGGCUGCGGUAAGCUGCAGUAAGGGCCGGGUAGCCGCAUACAGGCUUAGAUCCGGCCGUCGCCGAAUGGGACCUCCCUCCAGGGGCAAACCCCUGGAAUUCGGGAUACCGUUUAUGGUAUCCCGAAGGCGAACGCCCGGAACUGAAACAUCUUAGUACGGGCAGGAAGAGAAACCAAACGGGAUGCCGUGAGUACCGGCGAGGGAAAACGGCACAGUUCAAACCGAACGCAUCCAGGCAACUGGAUGCGGAUGUGGAGUUUCGGAUGCAGCCAUAUGGGGUCUGACUUGAGAAGCCGAAGUGGACUGGAACGUCCCGCCAUAGAGGGUGAAAGCCCCGUAGGCGCAAUCAAGUCAGAUCCCGGCUGCAUCCCGAGUACCAUGGGUUGGGAUUCCCGUGGGAAUACGGGGGCCACCAGCCUCCAAAACUAAACACGUCCUGAGACCGAUAGCGAACUAAGUACCGUGAGGGAAAGCUGAAAAGCACCUAGGAAUAGGGGUGAAAAGAGCCUGAAACCAGGUGGCUAUAGGAGCUGCGGCUCGAAAGAAGUGAGUCCCCCCGAAGGGGGGGAUGGUAACAUCCUCCUCGAGGGGGGAUGAUCGGGGUCGCAGCGUACGUCUUGAAACACGGGCCGGGGAGUUCGUGCACGUGGCGAGCCUAAGGGGGUCACCCCCGGAGGCGUAGAGAAAUCGAAUGCCCGCAGCCGCACCUUCCAAGGUGUGGUGAGGGGCAGCGUGUGAAAGCGCGUAAGUCACGUGCACGAAACCAGAAGCCGGGCGAUCUACUCCUGGGCAGGUCGAAGCUGGGCUAAACCGCCCAGUGGAGGACCGUAGGGGUGCUGAGGUGCAAAUCGCUCCCAUGACCUGGGAGUAGGGGCAAAAGACCAAUCUAGCCCGGUGAUAGCUGGUUCCCCCCGAAGCAGCCCGCAGGCUGGCCUCCGCUGAGGAGGAGGGCGCGGUAGAGCACCGAUUGGGUAGUUAGGGGCGUUAAGCCUCGCUACCCUCUCGAACUCCGAAUGCGCCCUCUCCGUAGAAGCGGGGAGUAGGGCACGGGGGGGAAGCUCCCGUGCCGAGAGGGGAACAACCCAGACCGGGGUUAAGGCCCCUAAAUGCUGGUUAAGUGCCGAAAUCCAAAGGGCGUCUCCCUCCUUAGACAGCGGGGAGGUAGGCUUAGAAGCAGCCAUCCUUUAAAGAGUGCGUAAAAGCUCACCCGCCGAGGAGGGAGGCCCCGAAAAUGGGCGGGGCUAAAACCAGCUGCCGAUACCCCGGCGGUGCGGUAGCACCGGGUAGGGGGGCGCCCAUACCGGGCAGAAGCCAGCUCGUGAGGGCUGGUGGACCGGUAUGGGUUGAAGAUCCCGGCGGUAGUAGCAGCCAAGCCGAGUGAGAAUCUCGGCGGCCGGAAGGGCAAGGGUUUGCCGGCACUGCUUCGUCAGCCGGCAGUUAGCCCGUCCUAAGGUGGCACCUAACAGGUCGCCACCGAAAGGGAAGCCGGUUAAUAUUCCGGCGCCACGGGGGUACGCUCGCGGUAACGCAGGCCCAGCCUCUGACGCUUCCGGCUAGGCCGAGCGGGGCCGUCGCCCCGUCCAACUGUCGAAGGCCGCGGAGUUCCGUAAUGGAGAGAAGCGGCUGAAGGCAGGAUGGGACGCCCGUAUAGGGUGUUUCGGUCGACGCCGGGAGCCCUUGAAAAGGAGGCUGGGAAGGAUCCCCCGUGACGGUACCCAGAACCGACACAGGUGCCCUGGGUGAGCAGCCCAAGGCCUGUCGGCGUAACCCGGGUGAGGGAAAUCGGCAAACUAGUCCCGUAACUUCGGGAGAAGGGAUGCCUGCAGCCUUGGGGCUAACAACCCCGGGGCGGCAGGCCGCAGUGACAGGGGGGGCCCGACUGUUUAACAAAAACAUAGAUCCCCGCUAGCCCGAAAGGGUGUGUACGGGGGUUGAAUCCUGGCCAAUGCCGGUACCUGAAACCCGGUUCCAACCGGGCGAAGGGCCGGUAAAAGCCGGGAGUAACUCUGACUCUCUUAAGGUAGCCAUAUGCCUUGUCGAUUAAAAAUCGACGUGCAUGAAUGGAUCAACGAGGUCCCCGCUGUCCCCACCCGGGUGCCGGUGAACCCACGUCUCGGUGAAUAGUCCGAGACCCCCCGGCGGGGAGAGAAGUCCCUGUGGAGCUUUACUGCAGCCUGGCCUUGUGGAAUAGUCGUGGAUGCGUAGCGUAGACGGGAGCGAUGUUCAGGUCCUUUCGGGGGCCUGUGAAGCGCCGGUGAAACACCGUCCUUCCACGACUAUUCCACUAACGGGGGAGACCCCGGACAGGGCUUGGUGGGCAGUUUGGCUGGGGUGGCACGCCCCUGAAAAGGCAUCAGGGGCGCCCAAAGGUGGGCUUAGGUGGGACAGAAACCCACCGUGAAGGGCAAGACCAAAAGCCCGCCUGAUUGGAACCCUAAAAGCGUGGGUUCCAAAGGCGAAAGCCUGGUCUAGCGAACACUCGUGCCCUCCUGGUGAGGGCCGGGUACGACAGAAAAGUUACCCCAGGGGUAACAGAGCUGUUGCGGGCGAGAGUCCCCAUCGACCCCGCAGCUUGCUUCUCCGUCGUCGGCACUCCUCAUCCUGGGGGUGCAGCAGCCCCCAAGGGUGGGGAUGUUCGCCCAUUAAAGAGGAACGUGAGCUGGGUUCAGAACGUCGCGAGCCAGUUCGGUUUCUCCCUACCGGGGGUGCUGGCCGCCUGAGGGGAAGGCAUCUCUAGUACGAAAGGAACGAGAUGCCGCAGCCUAUGGUGACCGGCUGUCCGACAGGGCAGGCCGGGUAGCCAAGCUGCAUGCUGAUAAGGGCUGAAAGCAUCUAAGCCCGAAGCAGCCCCCAAAAAUAGGCGGCC